rnacentral:lncRNA from 1 species
ACAUGAAUAAAUCUGAAAUUAUAAUAUUAUUUAGAUUAGAUCUAAAUAAAGUUUAUGAUUUAUAUGAUCUCUGAUUUUAAUGAACAAAUCAGAUUUGAAAAUAAAAGUAAAAAAAUAAAUACAUAAGAUGUAUGUUAUUUGAAUUAAUUCAUGUUGUUGUGUAUAUGUGAUGCAUGAACAUAAAACAUAAUGACUUAAACAUGAAUUAAAUCUGAUUACAUGUGAUUAAUUACAAAAACUCAGAUCUGAAAAUAUGUUUUAAGAACUGAAAGAUUGUAAUUAAUAUGUAAUUAAAAUGAAAUAUGCAAUGAUCAAAACUUUCAUAAGUCUAAACUUAAUUGAGAAUUAAGUGUUAUGAAAUAGAAUUGUAACUCA